UACGAAGGGGGCUAGCGUUGCUCGGAAUCACUGGGCGUAAAGGGUGCAUAGGCGGGUCUUUAAGUCAGAGGGGAAAUCCUGGAGCUCAACUCCAGAACUGCCUUUGAUACUGAGGAUCUUGAGUUCGGGAGAGGUGAGUGGAACUGCGAGUGUAGAGGUGAAAUUCGUAGAUAUUCGCAAGAACACCAGUGGCGAAGGCGGCUCACUGGCCCGAUACUGACGCUGAGGCACGAAAGCGUGGGGAGCAAACAGG
rnacentral:rRNA from 1 species